UUCUCUUUUAGAAAAAUAUUUCGGAAAUUAUUCAUACCAUGAACGCGUGAUCAGAUUUUUAUAUAAGGCGAUGUUUUUUGAACAAGACAGUAACUGUUUUCUACAGCAUUAAAAAUGAACAAGUCACUUUUUCUUCUCUUGCUCGUCAUCGGACUCCUCGUCCUCACCGAUACCACUGAUGCGUGGCGUCGUCGUCGUCGCGGUGGCCGUCGUCGAUGGUGGAACCAAAAGGCAGCGAAAGAAUCUGAAGAUGUAGAAUCGAUUGAAGAACCAAAAGAGGAUGACCGUUGGUAAGGACAAUAAGUGUUCAUCAUUAUAAAUCGACGAUGACAAUAAAUUAAACUCGAAUUCAUC